rnacentral:rRNA from 1 species
UCAGCUCGUGUCGUGAGAUGUACGGUUAAGUCCGUGAACGAGCGCAACCCCUGCCCUUAGUUGCUAAUAUGCGAAAGCAUAUGCACUCUAAGGGGACCGCCAGCGGAAAGCUGGAGGAAGGUGGGAUGACGUCAAAUCCUCAUGGCCUUUAUGUCCAGGGCUACACACAUGCGACAAUGGUCGAGACAACGCGUUGCAAACCAGUAAUGGUAAGCUAAUCGCAUAAAAUCGACCUCAGUACGGAUUGAGGGUUGCAAUUCACCCUCAUGAAGCUGGAGUUGCUAGUAACCGCAGGUCAGCUAUACUGCGAUGAAUACGUUCCCGGGGCUU